rnacentral:lncRNA from 1 species
UCCGUAAACAUCGAUGAGAUCGAAAAGGGAUGCAUAAAGAUGAGAUGAGAUGAGAUGAGAUGAGAUGAGAUGAGAUGAGAUGAGAUGAGAUGAGAUGAGAUGAGAUGAGAUGAGACCAAACGUGCAAGGCAGGGGUUGGUCCAAACCACUUCUCACUUUGAGGCCUAAAAGUUUGUGAUUAUUCCCUGCCUUUUUAUCCUUAUCAUUUUUAUUUUUUUUUAUUUACUGAUUUUUUCUUCAUUUGGAGUCAAAUUUUUUAUGCCAAGUAAAGUAACACAAUCACUUUUUUACAUAAAUGUGAUUU